AGACCACCAGCUAAGGUCCCAAAAUAUAUGUUAAGUGGAAAAGGAUGUGGCGUUGCCCAGACAACUAGGAUGUUGGCUUAGAAGCAGCCAUCAUUUAAAGAGUGCGUAAUAGCUCACUAGUCGAGUGACACUGCGCCGAAAAUGUACCGGGGCUAAACAUAUUACCGAAGCUGUGGAUUGUCCUUUGGACAAUGGUAGGAGAGCGUUCUAAGGGCGUUGAAGCAUGAUCGUAAGGACAUGUGGAGCGCUUAGAAGUGAGAAUGCCGGUGUGAGUAGCGAAAGACGGGUGAGAAUCCCGUCCACCGAUUGACUAAGGUUUCCAGAGGAAGGCUCGUCCGCUCUGGGUUAGUCGGGUCCUAAGCUGAGGCCGACAGGCGUAGG
rnacentral:rRNA from 1 species